GAUGAACGCUGGCGGCGUGCCUAAUACAUGCAAGUCGAGCGAACAGAUGAGGAGCUUGCUCCUCUGACGUUAGCGGCGGACGGGUGAGUAACACGUGGAUAACCUACCUAUAAGACUGGGAUAACUUCGGGAAACCGGAGCUAAUACCGGAUAAUAUAUUGAACCGCAUGGUUCAAUAGUGAAAGACGGUUUUGCUGUCACUUAUAGAUGGAUCCGCGCCGCAUUAGCUAGUUGGUAAGGUAACGGCUUACCAAGGCGACGAUGCGUAGCCGACCUGAGAGGGUGAUCGGCCACACUGGAACUGAGACACGGUCCAGACUCCUACGGGAGGCAGCAGUAGGGAAUCUUCCGCAAUGGGCGAAAGCCUGACGGAGCAACGCCGCGUGAGUGAUGAAGGUCUUCGGAUCGUAAAACUCUGUUAUUAGGGAAGAACAAAUGUGUAAGUAACUUUGCACGUCUUGACGGUACCUAAUCAGAAAGCCACGGCUAACUACGUG
rnacentral:rRNA from 1 species